ensembl:lncRNA
GCCAAUGGCACAGCUUCCGAGCUGGUCUAGCUGAGAAUGGGGUUAGGAAGACGUUGGGAGGCACCAGGUUGUUGCCAAGAGUGAGGCCAAAGUUCAUUGGUCUCUGAGUGCACGUGUGGGUCACGCUGACCCAGCUUAUGGACUUUGCACACCAUCCCUACGGAGAAUUGUGCCAAUAACGGCCCCCCAUAGAAUUGCCCCCACCCUGUGACUUUGUUCUUCUGCUAUCACCAGAUUCAUGGAUGAUCCUGUGAAUAACAGCUCCUGGUGGCGAAUUUGAAACUUUGUUUUUAAAGAUGACAGUUUGUCACGGACAAAGAUGAUCAGACCUUUAUCGUUGGGUAGAGAGGGCUGUCCACUCUUCUCUGAGAAGUCCCAGCAUUUUGGUCACAACACUGAGCCCUCCCAGCCGGCCGGCCAGUGGGGGCCACGUCCAGAGGCUGUGUCCCCAAACUACCCCUGAUCAAAACUGGCAGGCAGGGGAGACUCCAGGAUCGCCAGAGGGAGGUGGUCAUCUCUGAGGAGUGGUCUUGGGCCCGGUCCCCAACCUGCAUCUCCAAAGCCAGCACAGUUUCACUUCCACUGUAGGGUAAAAAUCAGCAGGUGUUAUGGGCUGAAAUGGUGUCCCCCAAAUUCACAUUUUGAAAUUUUAAACCCCUGGUACCUCAGAACAUGACUCUAUUUGGAGACAGGGUCUUUAAAGAGGUAAUCAAGGUAAGAUGAGGUCAUAGGGUGGGCCCUAAUCCAAUACAACUUGUGUCCUUAUGGGAAGAGGAGAUGAGGACGCAGACAGGCACAGAGGGAGCCACAUGAAGACAAAGAGGAGAAGAGAGGCCUCGGAAGACACCAACCCUGUCAACACCUUGAUCUCAGACUUGGAGCCCCCAGGACGGUGAGGAAAUCCAUUUCUGCUGUGGAAGCCAUCUCGACAGUGGUACUGUUAUGGCCUCCUGAGUGAACGAACACACCCAGUUUCCUAGAGACACACUUUAAUGUAAGAUGGACAAAAUGGCCUUUGUACACAGCAAAGACUAUUACCUACUGGUGGUGGCUCAGAGCAGGCAAGGUGGAGAAGUAAUGUCAGCACCCACCCAGCAUGAGGAGCACCCAGGACUUGCCUCGCCAUGUGGCUUCCAAUUAACCUGUCAAGACUGCAGCCCUGUGUGAAGCUGCAGCCGGGCCCUGAGGCCUCCACCUGGUCUUGCCAGGCCUGUCUCCAGGGACCAUUUGGGACCCUGACACUCCUCUCAGUUCUCUGACUCCCAGACCACCUCUCCCAUCUCUGUCACCAGAGAUUCUGGCUGCUAAGUUUUGACUCCCCACCGCCAUCAGACCCUGGAGCGUGGUUGCUGGUCUGGGGGAGAUUGCCCGUCUCCACAUCCAUGCCCUUAGCCAAGCUUGAAGCCCUGGGCAUUCUUCCUCUCAGAGGCCACACCCCUCAAACGUAUCCAAAAGCAGCCACGUGCCACAUCACAUAUAAUUUUCAUAAACUAUAGGCGCUGAGUUGCAAUUGUCUAGUCAACCUUUUGUAGACAUUUAAUCAUUUCAUCCUUACAGCAUACUUUCCUAAUUUUAGAGCUGGUAAUGAUCCUGGCUGUGGCUCAGGUGUUUCCAUGGAUGUUUGAAAAGCUGGCUGGCCCUGGGCACCAGCUGUGGACCCAGCUGUGGGUAGUCCCGAGGGCCCUUCCCAGGAGGUACCAGCAUGCACUGGGUGUGCCUGACCCAAGAGGAGCCCUCCCAGCACCUGGUGGCCAGUUGCGAUGCCCCACCCCCCUUCCAGUGCUGCAGGGGAGAAGGAGGGGCACUUUUC